UGCACUGCUUGGUAUCUGCACUCAGCAGCCUUCCUGCUGGGGGUUCAAAGGGCCAGUGCAAUAGCAAGUCAGUAUCUGGCAUCGUUGGUUUUCUUGGCUUUGUGCAUGUAAAACCUGGUAUUUCUAUUGAUACAUCA